rnacentral:rRNA from 1 species
UACGGGGGGGGCAAGCGUUGCUCGGAAUUACUGGGCGUAAAGGGCUCGUAGGCGGCCAACUAAGUCAGACGUGAAAUCCCUCGGCUUAACCGGGGAACUGCGUCUGAUACUGGAUGGCUGGAGGUUGGGAGAGGGAUGCGGAAUUCCAGGUGUAGCGGUGAAAUGCGUAGAUAUCUGGAGGAACACCGGUGGCGAAGGCGGCAUCCUGGACCAAUUCUGACGCUGAGGAGCGAAAGCCAGGGGAGCAAACGGG